rnacentral:rRNA from 1 species
GACGAACCGUGCGAACGUUGUUCGGAUUCACUGGGCUUAAAGGGCGCGUAGGCGGCUUGCCAAGUCAGGGGUGAAAUCCUCCGGCUUAACCGGAGAAGUGCUUUUGAUACUGGCGAGCUUGAGGGAGGUAGGGGCAGGCGGAACUUCCGGUGGAGCGGUGAAAUGCGUAGAUAUCAGGAGGAACACCGGUGGCGAAGGCGGCUUUCUGGACAGUAACUGACGCUGAGGCGCGAAAGCUAGGGGAGCAAACAGG